GCUGCCCGAGCGCCGUUGCUGGUGGACUCGGGGCUGUGGCCGAGGCCCGCGUGUGCCUUUGCGUUCCGCGGCGGCGUUUCCUGGCUGGGGGAGCCGAGUGAGGGCGGUGGAAGGACCUAGAGGUAGCAGCUGGGGCUCAGAGCGUUCAUUUCAGUCGAGGAGGCUUCCUUCCUGUGCUUUAUCUUGUUUCCUGCCUGCUUAGAGAAUGCCACUCCCUUAAUGCAUUUGAGUUCAGGCACUGCUUCAGAUGUGGUGAAUCCCUUUAAAGGUAAUCCUUACACGGUUGGUUUUGUUUUGCACAGCGUUGAUACAUGCACCGGUGCUUCUUGGCUUUGUAACCGACUUGCUGAUUUUGAUAAAUGGCAGCAAAAAGCUUUUAUCUGUCCAUGUCUGACUUGAACAGUAGGUAUGUUAGCUAUAGGUAUGUUAACUGGGUGCUAAAGAUGCGCGGCCAGAAUUGACUAAAGAAAAAGGAUGCCUGUUACCUAAAAACCAGAAAGGUUAUUUAAAUCGGAACAGAGCGAGGACCUGGCAGGCGACUGUCUGAACUUGAAAGUGGUAGAGGUUUGGUGGUUAGGAUUGUAUUGAAGUGGGAGAUUAGGAGUCUGCCUGCGUGCUUGCCUCUAGCUAGUGCUGCUGAAUGGCAGCAUUAGUGGAUGCUUGCAAUUUAUCAGAAAUUAGGAAAAACUGAGGAAAAAAUAAAGCCAUGUUUCUGAUAGUGCGAUGUAUGCUGGGGCAUUUUCUUGUAAACAUUCAGUACUGUGGCUUGAAUUCACCGUAUCCUGAUCUGCUGCUACUUGCCUGGAAUGCACCACUCCCUUUAAGCUUUUCCUGGAGCGAGUCAUUGUCUCUUCACCCUGGAAUUCCAGUGAAGAGGCUUAAAUUGCUACUGUCUGUACAAAAAAAGCCUGUGCCUGAAGAUAGGAGAGGGAAGGUUUUAGAGAUUGAAAGUGUCUGAAAUUAGUGGAGAAUGUGAAAUGUCUGAAAUGAGUAGAGAAUGCAACUAUAAAAUGAGCACUGUGAGCACGUGAAGGACCUAGGACAAAUGGACUAGGAGUGUGUGUAAAGUAAGAGGUUUGGCUGCCUGGAGUGGCUGGCUGCACCAAGAAAGCUGCAGAGGAGAUGGGUUUCCAACUGUUGGGUUCUUGAAAUAAGCUGGGAGGAUAGAACCAGAAACAGUGUAUUGUGGGGUUCUUAAUGCCUAGCUCUCAUUUUACAAUAAAUACAUUUCUAAUUUGCACGAGAUUGGAAGUAAUCUGUGUUAUCAGACGUCCUUCAUCUCUGCCCAUCACCUGGGCCCACCCUAAUGAAGCACUCCCCAGUACACAGACAUCAGUUACGCACAUUAUUAAUCAGAAGACAAAAGACUUUGGCCUCACAGGCUCACAACAGUUUUAUUCACGGGACUAUAGCACACUAAUUAAGGCAAUUUAUGUCCUGCUUCUUCCCACUUAGCUUUCAGUACAUUCUAGGCAAAUAGUACAAUGGGAUUUUAAAGCUUGCCUUUUUGUAGGGUAGGACAUGUUUAUGGACUGUACCUUCUCUGAGCAUGGAGCUUCAAUGGGGAGGAAAUGGCUAUCAGUCUCCUUCAUUGAAGAAAAUACUGACUCUGAGCAGUUUUGCUUCUCCAUUGUAAAAUUAAGUUACCCAUUCUGUUUUCUCACUUCACUGGCCCCAAGUCCCUUAGAUUUCCAAUGGGAAAAAAAAAAUUAAGAUCAUACAGAAAAUUGGGGAGUUUGCCAUGCUUUCAAAAAUCUGACCUAGUACAGUCUGCUUGUGAGAUACUUAAAGGAACUUGGUUACAUGCAUCCAUUUGUUGGCUUAGAAUUGCAGUUAUAGGGCAUAUAUCGGCAUAGGUGGUAGAGCAUGUCCACAUCCUUGGCACUUUUUUCUCUGCCCUCAAGCCUUUUUUUGAAGUUCACCCAUAGACAGAAAUCUCAACAAGGACACUCUUUUUGACUUUUGGUCUACUUCUACCACUUGCUUUAUACUCAUACUGUCUUUUUUGCAACUACUGAGAACUUAGGUUUAAAAUGGGUGAUGCUAUCACCAAGUCAUUCUGAUACAUUACAUGAAAUCUUGUCCUCAGGCAAGGCUUAAGCCUAGUUUUCAACUCCAUUCUGUAAAUCUCAUCUCUUGAAUACUUUUCCCUACCUUUUCUUUUGACAGGUGCCAUUACCUGAUACGGUAUUUCUCUUUAAAAAUCAAUGCAGUAGGCUAAUCCUUUGGAGAUGACAAGGUAACAUCUUUUCUCAGGGAGUUUUGAGCUGGCUGUUUCAGUGACUUGCACAGUGACAGGUUGAUGUUUUGUGUGCUUUUAAAAGUGCAAUCUAUAACACAGAUUCUUUUUAAAGAGGAAUAGCAUAGUUAUGUAUUUUUGCACUGCUUCAGGACUCAAAAAAUUAUUUUUAGAUAUAUUACAACUCACCUAUAACUCUCAACUUUGUAUCUUUUAUGACUUAGUAUGAUCCAAGAAUGAUGAAUAUAUUUGAGAAUCAAAGUACUGUAAUACUGAAACUAGGCAGUUAAUCUUUAGAAAUUGGAAAUUAUUUCUUUUGAAGGAGAUGCCUCAAAAGAAGGAAAAGGGAAAACUUUCAAACAAUGAUUCUUUUGAAGUGAACUGAUUACUUAUGUAACAAGAAGUUGGAAGGUGUGAAAGUCAGAUGGUUUCUAAUUGCAGUGCCUGGAAAACAAAGUCACUGGUGAUUAUUCAGAACUCUUGGAGCUGGAGCUCAAGAAUUAAUAGGCGAGGUUCAGCCGCUCUCAUUUCAACUGCGUGGAUACAUCUGCAUCUGUUGGGAAGAUCAGGCUGAGUUCCUAACUUGGGAUAACUUCAAAAUCAGAAGCAACUUGUGACAUACUUUGCUUCAACCAAUUGUCUGAGAUUAUGCACACCACCAGUAGCAAUGAAUCCUGUUUUUCUGGUUAGGUGUUCCAUUGCCCAACAUUGAGACUGUGGUACAGUUGUUAGAGUAAAAAUUACUCCAUUCACUAAAUUCUUAAAUCUACAGGAAAGAGUUAACCUGAAACAUUCUUCUCAGGUACCAGUAUAUCAUUAGUUUUUUCCCCUCCUGCUUUCUUGUUCCUACUGUUUUUUGCAAGUUGAUGUACAUUAUCAGCCUUAAGGGUGUGUAGCACAUGGACAUAAGUAGUUGAGCACGAAGUGACCUUUCACUCCAAAUAAAACAGUAUUGUACAAAGUGUGUAAUAAGACUUCAAGCUUCUUGUAACAGAUUGGCAACUGUUGUGCUAGCGCGUUUGUUGUUUGUAAAAAGCAUACUUUUCACUCA